UACGGGGGGAGCAAGCGUUGUUCGGAUUUACUGGGCGUAAAGGGCGCGUAGGCGGUCGUGACAAGUCACUUGUGAAAUCUCCGGGCUUAACUCGGAAAGGUCAAGUGAUACUGUCGGACUAGAGUACAGAAGGGGCAACUGGAAUUCCUGGUGUAGCGGUGAAAUGCGCAGAUAUCAGGAGGAACACCGGUGGCGAAGGCGGGUCUCUGGGCCGAUACUGACGCUGAGGAGCGAAAGCGUGGGGAGCGAACAGG
rnacentral:rRNA from 1 species